UUGUAGGUGAACCCCGGAAGGAUCAUUACCGAGUU
rnacentral:rRNA from 1 species